GUGGGUUACGGAGAUAUUUACCCAAAAACUCUGCUGGGAAAGAUAGUCGGCGGGUUGUGCUGCAUUGCGGGAGUUCUGGUGAUCGCCCUGCCAAUCCCCAUCAUUGUAAAUAAC
rfam:Oreochromis niloticus linkage group LG5, whole genome shotgun sequence.